rnacentral:rRNA from 1 species
UACGUAGGGGGCUAGCGUUGUCCGGAAUCAUUGGGCGUAAAGAGCGUGUAGGCGGCCCGGUAAGUCCGCUGUGAAAGUCGGGGGCUCAACCCUCGAAUGCCGGUGGAUACUGUCGGGCUAGAGUGCGGAAGAGGCGAGUGGAAUUCCUGGUGUAGCGGUGAAAUGCGCAGAUAUCAGGAGGAACACCGAUUGCGAAGGCAGCUCGCUGGGACGUUACUGACGCUGAGACGCGAAAGCGUGGGGAGCAAACAGG